CCUACGGUGGCUGCAGUGGGGAAUAUUGGACAAUGGGCGAAAGCCUGAUCCAGCCAUGCCGCGUGUGUGAAGAAGGCCUUCGGGUUGUAAAGCACUUUCAGUGGGGAAGAAAGCCUUGGGGCUAAUACCCUCGAGGAAGGACAUCACCCACAGAAGAAGCACCGGCUAACUCCGUGCCAGCAGCCGCGGUAAUACGGAGGGUGCGAGCGUUAAUCGGAAUUACUGGGCGUAAAGCGCGCGUAGGCGGUCUGAUAAGCCGGUUGUGAAAGCCCCGGGCUCAACCUGGGAACGGCAUCCGGAACUGUCAGGCUAGAGUGCAGGAGAGGAAGGUAGAAUUCCCGGUGUAGCGGUGAAAUGCGUAGAGCUCGGGAGGAAUACCAGUGGCGAAGGCGGCCUUCUGGACUGACACUGACGCUGAGGUGCGAAAGCGUGGGUAGCAAACAGGAUUAGAUACCCCGGUAGUC
rnacentral:rRNA from 1 species